GGAGAACGUGCCCUUAGGCGGAGGAUAAUCUCGGGAAAUUGAGGAUAAUACUCCAUAGGUCACGGGGUCUGGAACGACCCGUGGCCGAAAGCCCCGGCGCCUAAGGAUCGCUCUGCGGCUUAUCAGGUCGUAGUGGGUGUAACGUACCCCCUAGCCGACGACGAGUAUGGGCCUUGAGAGAGGGAGCCCAGAGUUGGAUUCUGAGACACGAAUCCAGGCCCUACGGGGCGCAGCAGUCGCGAAAACUUCACACUGGGGGCAACCCCGAUGAGGGAAUUCCUAGUGCCGGGGCCUCUGGUCCUGGCUUUUCUCCGGCGUAGACGACCGGAGGAAUAAGGGCUGGGUAAGACGGGUGCCAGCCGCCGCGGUAAUACCUGCAGCCCGAGUGGUGGUCGAUUUUAUUGAGUCUAAAACGUUCGUAGCCGGCCCGGUAAAUCCCUGGGUAAAUCGGGAAGCUCAACUUCCCGAAUUCCGGGGAGACUGCCGGGCUUGGGACCGGGAGAGGCUAGAGGUACUUCUGGGGUAGGGGUAAAAUCCUGUAAUCCUGGAAGGACCACCGGUGGAGAAGGCGUCUAGCUAGAACGGAUCCGACGGUGAGGGACGAAGCCCUGGGUCGCAAACGGGAUUAGAUACCCCGGUAGUCCAGGGUGUAAACGCUGCAGACUUGGUGUUGGGGGCCCUUCGGGGGCGUCCAGUGCCGGAGAGAAGUUGUUAAGUCUGCUACUUGGGGAGUACGUCCGCAAGAUGAAACUUAA
rnacentral:rRNA from 1 species